AAUGCUCACUUCAGCCUCACAUACUAAAAUUGGAAUGAUUAUAGAGAAGACCAGCAUGGUUCCUGCACAAGGAUGACACACAAAUCCAUGAAGUGGUCCAUAUUUUU
ensembl:snRNA U6 U6 spliceosomal RNA